rnacentral:rRNA from 2 species
UACGUACCGUCCAAACGUUAUUCGGAAUCACUGGGCUUAAAGAGUUCGUAGGCGGCCCAGAAAGUUGGGUGUGAAAUCCCUCGGCUCAACCGAGGAAUUGCGCUCAAAACUACUGGGCUAGAGGGAGAUAGAGGUGAGCGGAACUGAUGGUGGAGCGGUGAAAUGCGUUGAUAUCAUCAGGAACACCGGAGGCGAAGGCGGCUCACUGGGUCUUUCCUGACGCUGAGGAACGAAAGCUAGGGGAGCGAACGGG